rnacentral:rRNA from 1 species
GUAGGGGGCGAGCGUUAUCCGGAUUUAUUGGGCGUAAAGCGUUCGUAGGCGGUUUGUUAAGUCUAAAAUCAAAUCUUGGGGCUUAACUCCAUUCAGUUUUAGAAACUGGCAGACUUGAGUGUGGUAGAGGCAAGUGGAAUUUCUAGUGUAGCGGUUAAAUGCGUAGAUAUUAGAAGGAACACCAGUGGCGAAGGCGGCUUGCUGGGCCAUUACUGACGCUGAGGAACGAGAGCGUGGGGAGCAAAUAGGAUUAGAUACCCUAGUAGUCCACGCCGUAAACGAUGAGUACUAAGUGUCGGGUUACCGGUGCUGAAGUUAACACAUUAAGUACUCCGCCUGAGUAGUACGGUCGCAAGGCUG